UACGGGGGGGGCGAAGCGUUGUUCGGAAUUACUGGGCGUAAAGGGCUCGUAGGUGGCCAACUAAGUCAACCGUGAAAUCCCUCGGCUUAACCGGGGAACUGCGUUUGAUACUGGAUGGCUUGAGUUUGGGAGAGGGAUGCGGAAUUCCAGGUGUAGCGGUGAAAUGCGUAGAUAUCUGGAGGAACACCGGUGGCGAAGGCGGCAUCCUGGACCAUUAUUGACGCUGAGGAGCGAAAGCCAGGGGAGCAAACGGG
rnacentral:rRNA from 1 species